rnacentral:rRNA from 1 species
CUACGGGUGGUACCAGUGGGGAAUAUUGCACAAUGGGGGAAACCCUGAUGCAGCAACGCCGCGUGGAGGAUGACGCAUUUCGGUGUGUAAACUCCUUUUAUAUAGGAAGAUAAUGACGGUACUAUAUGAAUAAGCACCGGCUAACUCCGUGCCAGCAGCCGCGGUAAUACGGAGGGUGCAAGCGUUACUCGGAAUCACUGGGCGUAAAGCGCGCGCAGGCGGCCUUUUAAGUUGGAUGUGAAAGCCUAUGGCUUAACCAUAGAACUGCAUCCAAAACUAUCAGGCUAGAGUCUGGGAGGGGAAAAUGGAAUUAGUUGUGUAGGGGUAAAAUCCGUAGAGAUAACUAGGAAUACCAAAAGCGAAGGCGAUCUUCUGGAACAGUACUGACGCUGAGGCGCGAAAGCGUGGGGAGCAAACAGGAUUAGAUACCCUCGUAGUC